rnacentral:rRNA from 1 species
UUAAGCGACUAAGCGUACACGGUGGAUGCCCUGGCAGUCAGAGGCGAUGAAGGACGUGCUAAUCUGCGAUAAGCGUCGGUAAGGUGAUAUGAACCGUUAUAACCGGCGAUUUCCGAAUGGGGAAACCCAGUGUGAUUCGUCACACUAUCAUUAACUGAAUCCAUAGGUUAAUGAGGCGAACCGGGGGAACUGAAACAUCUAAGUACCCCGAGGAAAAGAAAUCAACCGAGAUUCCCCCAGUAGCGGCGAGCGAACGGGGAGCAGCCCAGAGCCUGAAUCAGUGUGUGUUAGUGGAAGCGUCUGGAAAGGCGCGCGAUACAGGGUGACAGCCCGUACACAAAACACAUGCUGUGAGCUCGAUGAGUAGGGCGGGACACGUGGUAUCCUGUCUGAAUAUGGGGACCAUCCUCCAAGGCUAAAUACUCCUGACUGACCGAUAGUGAACCAGUACCGUGAGGGAAAGGCGAAAAGAACCCCGGCGAGGGGAGUGAAAAAGAACCUGAAACCGUGUACGUACAAGCAGUGGGAGCACGCUUCGGCGUGUGACUGCGUACCUUUUGUAUAAUGGGUCAGCGACUUAUAUUCUGUAGCAAGGUUAACCGAAUAGGGGAGCCGAAGGGAAACCGAGUCUUAACUGGGCGUUAAGUUGCAGGGUAUAGACCCGAAACCCGGUGAUUCAGCCAUGGGCAGGUUGAAGGUUGGGUAACACUAACUGGAGGACCGAACCGACUAAUGUUGAAAAAUUAGCGGAUGACUUGUGGCUGGGGGUGAAAGGCCAAUCAAACCGGGAGAUAGCUGGUUCUCCCCGAAAGCUAUUUAGGUAGCGCCUCGUGAAUUCAUCUCCGGGGGUAGAGCACUGUUUCGGCAAGGGGGUCAUCCCGACUUACCAACCCGAUGCAAACUGCGAAUACCGGAGAAUGUUAUCACGGGAGACACACGGCGGGUGCUAACGUCCGUCGUGAAGAGGGAAACAACCCAGACCGCCAGCUAAGGUCCCAAAGUCAUGGUUAAGUGGGAAACGAUGUGGGAAGGCCCAGACAGCCGAUGUUGGCUUAGAAGCAGCCAUCAUUUAAAGAAAGCGUAAUAGCUCACUGGUCGAGUCGGCCUGCGCGGAAGAUGUAACGGGGCUAAACCAUGCACCGAAGCUGCGGCAGCGACACUAUGUGUUGUUGGGUAGGGGAGCGUUCUGUAAGCCUGUGAAGGUGUACUGUGAGGUAUGCUGGAGGUAUCAGAAGUGCGAAUGCUGACAUAAGUAACGAUAAAGCGGGUGAAAAGCCCGCUCGCCGGAAGACCAAGGGUUCCUGUCCAACGUUAAUCGGGGCAGGGUGAGUCGACCCCUAAGGCGAGGCCGAAAGGCGUAGUCGAUGGGAAACAGGUUAAUAUUCCUGUACUUGGUGUUACUGCGAAGGGGGGACGGAGAAGGCUAUGUUGGCCGGGCGACGGUUGUCCCGGUUUAAGCGUGUAGGCUGGUUUUCCAGGCAAAUCCGGAAAAUCAAGGCUGAGGCGUGAUGACGAGGCACUACGGUGCUGAAGCAACAAAUGCCCUGCUUCCAGGAAAAGCCUCUAAGCAUCAGGUAACAUCAAAUCGUACCCCAAACCGACACAGGUGGUCAGGUAGAGAAUACCAAGGCGCUUGAGAGAACUCGGGUGAAGGAACUAGGCAAAAUGGUGCCGUAACUUCGGGAGAAGGCACGCUGAUAUGUAGGUGAAGCGACUUGCUCGUGGAGCUGAAAUCAGUCGAAGAUACCAGCUGGCUGCAACUGUUUAUUAAAAACACAGCACUGUGCAAACACGAAAGUGGACGUAUACGGUGUGACGCCUGCCCGGUGCCGGAAGGUUAAUUGAUGGGGUUAGCGGUAACGCGAAGCUCUUGAUCGAAGCCCCGGUAAACGGCGGCCGUAACUAUAACGGUCCUAAGGUAGCGAAAUUCCUUGUCGGGUAAGUUCCGACCUGCACGAAUGGCGUAAUGAUGGCCAGGCUGUCUCCACCCGAGACUCAGUGAAAUUGAACUCGCUGUGAAGAUGCAGUGUACCCGCGGCAAGACGGAAAGACCCCGUGAACCUUUACUAUAGCUUGACACUGAACAUUGAGCCUUGAUGUGUAGGAUAGGUGGGAGGCUUUGAAGUGUGGACGCCAGUCUGCAUGGAGCCGACCUUGAAAUACCACCCUUUAAUGUUUGAUGUUCUAACGUUGACCCGUGAUCCGGGUUGCGGACAGUGUCUGGUGGGUAGUUUGACUGGGGCGGUCUCCUCCUAAAGAGUAACGGAGGAGCACGAAGGUUGGCUAAUCCUGGUCGGACAUCAGGAGGUUAGUGCAAUGGCAUAAGCCAGCUUGACUGCGAGCGUGACGGCGCGAGCAGGUGCGAAAGCAGGUCAUAGUGAUCCGGUGGUUCUGAAUGGAAGGGCCAUCGCUCAACGGAUAAAAGGUACUCCGGGGAUAACAGGCUGAUACCGCCCAAGAGUUCAUAUCGACGGCGGUGUUUGGCACCUCGAUGUCGGCUCAUCACAUCCUGGGGCUGAAGUAGGUCCCAAGGGUAUGGCUGUUCGCCAUUUAAAGUGGUACGCGAGCUGGGUUUAGAACGUCGUGAGACAGUUCGGUCCCUAUCUGCCGUGGGCGCUGGAGAACUGAGGGGGGCUGCUCCUAGUACGAGAGGACCGGAGUGGACGCAUCACUGGUGUUCGGGUUGUCAUGCCAAUGGCACUGCCCGGUAGCUAAAUGCGGAAGAGAUAAGUGCUGAAAGCAUCUAAGCACGAAACUUGCCCCGAGAUGAGUUCUCCCUGACUCCUUGAGAGUCCUGAAGGAACGUUGAAGACGACGACGUUGAUAGGCCGGGUGUGUAAGCGCAGCGAUGCGUUGAGCUAACCGGUACUAAUGAACCGUGAGGCUUAACCU